rnacentral:rRNA from 1 species
GCACAAGCGGUGGAUGAUGUGGUUUAAUUCGAUGCAACGCGAAAACCUUACCCACCUUUGACAUGUACGGAACCUUUAGAGAUAGAGGGGUGCUCGAAAGAGAGCCGUAACACAGGUGCUGCAUGGCUGUCGUCAGCUCGUGUCGUGAGAUGUUGGGUUAAGUCCCGCAACGAGCGCAACCCUUGUCAUUAGUUGCUACAUUCAGUUGGGCACUCUAAUGAGACUGCCGGUGACAAACCGGAGGAAGGUGGGGAUGACGUCAAGUCCUCAUGGCCCUUAUAGGUGGGGCUACACACGUCAUACAAUGGAUGGUACAAAGGGUCGCCAACCCGCGAGGGGGAGCCAAUCCCAUAAAGCCAUUCGUAGUCCGGAUCGCAGUCUGCAACUCGACUGCGUGAAGUCGGAAUCGCUAGUAAUCGUGGGUCAGAAUGUCACGGUGAAUACGUUCCCGGGUCUU